UUUGUUUUAAUUAAACAGUCGGAUUCCCCCUGUCCGCACCAGUUCUAAGCCGGCUGCUAGGCGCCGGCCGAGGCGAGCCACUGA